GGUGGGAGAGGUGGGCAGAGGGCAGUGAGGGGGGCUCCCGAGGACCCAGGGUGCCCUGAUAAGGGAUAUGGACUGGAUCCUGAGUGCAGUGGGGUUGUCACUGAAGGAUUUUAGAGGGGUCAGAUUUGUGUUCUAGAAAGAUCAUGUGGGCUGGUCUAUGCCAGUCUGCUUUAUUACUGUUUUCACAGGAUGGAGCUCAGUGUCUGGCACACAGUAGGUGCUCAAUAAAUGUUUUGAAUCAAUGCAGAAUGCCAGCAGUGUUCCCUGAGGCAGUGGUUAACUCCAGCUCAGGGACCUUGGGCCUCAGUUUCCUCAUCUGUAGAGCGAGGGGGGCAGCCCCUGCCUCGUGAGAGUGUCGUGAUGGUUAAGGGAGUAGCGCACAGGGGCCUUCGCUUCGUGUUCUGUGCGUGGUCAGUGCUCCAUAACUGGUGCCUUAUGAAGCGGGUGCCAGGUGUGCUGUGGGCAAGACGGAGGCGGGGCCCGGGCGAGGAGCGACUGAGUCGUCUUUGAAACAAGCUGAUGAAGAAGGCACUAUUGUCCCCCCUAUUUUAUCAUCCAGGUAACUGAGGCUCAGAGAGGUGAAGCAACUUGCCUGAGACCCCUCAGCAGGUGGGGAAACUGAGGCAAGGGGCGUCAAGUCUGGAAUGCCCAGAAUGGCUACAUCUCUAGAGACAGAGAGUAGGUUUCCUGGUGACCUGGCCCAAAUGGGUGGGAGACCUGGCCCUGCGGGUGGACGGGGGCUUCUGGCCGAGGAGACCUCUGAGGAGCGCCGCAUCCUUUUGCCUGGACAUCUUUGCCCCCAGGUGGAGAUCUCUCUACCUCGGGAUGCAGUGAGCCGCCAACCUGCAGUUUUUAGAGGCUUGCUGCCUUUGAUUUGGUGGGAGGGGCAGAAGGAGGAAUAACGGGGGAGAAAAAUGCCUCAACUGCUCUUCCUGAAGGAGCGAGACCCCCCGCCAACAGAUCACCCAGAAGCUUAGUCUCAGCCUCUCCCACAAGAGGGACCCGGGUGUCUGCUGGGAGUCCGGGAGGGCCGGAGGGUGCCAGGUGAAAGCCCACGUCUGGCGGUCCCCCUCCCUCCUGGCACCAAUGGUGGUCGCCAUCAGGCCGAUGCCCUGGGCUUCUGACUUCACAUCCCAGCUGAGAGUGGGAGGGCCGAACUGCCCUGGUGCCCAGGGCUGUGAGUGACCCAUGGCCUAGGCCGGGGAUGGGGUUGUGUGGAGAAGCUCCAGGGGCCCGCUGGGUGUGAGCGGGGAUGGGGGCAUCUGGAGAGGAGAGCAGGAGGCUGCCCCAGGCCUUCUGUGGCCACAGCCACCUCAGCCCUUCUGUAUAUGGUUCAUUCAGCUCCCCGCCUUCUGCCCCCUACCCUACAGGCCCCAGGCCUUGUCUCUCUGGUGGAGGAGGUCAGCAGGCAGACCCCCAGGACCUCUGUGGGGCCAGGCUCCCGUGAGGGAGGCAGAGCAGAUGAAUUAUCUCGGGAACCCGAGGCUCCGAGAGCAGGUCUUGCUGUGGUUCCCUCGCCCCCAUCAGGCACUUCUCCUGAGGGAGCCCACUCAGAGCCCCCUUCUUUCUGGCGCAGUUGUGAUACCCUGGUGCUGCGAUUGCCUAGACCAGAGCAGAAUAACAGGUCAUUAGAAGGUGCAGGGAUGGACAGAGGGAGGGUCCAGGAAGAGGGAAACAGUUGCUAAAACUUAAACAUUUGCUAAGAGGGUAGAUCUUAUGUUAAGUGUUCUUAUCACAAAACAAACAAAACACACGGUUGCUAAGUUGGCCUUGUUGAUGACAACAUUUGCAGACUGCUUUUAAGGGUGGACACAGAGCCACUCUUUAACCACAGGACACCCAGGGGCCCUGCGAGGCGGCUGCUUGUCAGAGGACCCGCGGAUGGCCUCCUGGCUCAGCGGCUGCUGUCGUGACUUGGUACAAGGGGAGGCUGCACUUGUAUAACACUUUGUUAAAGUGAACCAGGUCUAAAGAAAGAGCCAUGCCCAGGGGCCGGCCUGGUGGCAGAGCUGGUAAGUUCGCACGUUCCACUUCAGUGCAACGGUUUGGAUACCGGGUGCGCUUGGCACCGCUUGGCAAGCCAUGCUGUGGCAGGCGUCCCACGUAUAAAGUAGAGGAAGAUGAGCACGGAUGUUAGCUCAGGGCCAGUCUUCCUCAGCAAAAAGAGGAGGAUUGGCAGCAGAUGUUAGCUCAGGGCUGAUCUUCCUUAAAAGGAAAAAAAAAAAGAGUCUUGCCCAGAGAUGCCCAUUGACUAGUGAACAGCUGGCCACCAUCUUAGUGUGCAGCUGUGGGGGGCCUGUGAAAUGAAUUAUAGCGUGGUUCUAUGACAGAAUAUAACGCAGCCACCAGAAAUGAUGCUGAUGAGGAAUUUCAGUGACAUAGGAAUUGUUUUUGGUAUAAUCUUAAGUAAAAACCAGGAUAUAAAACAAUAUAUGCAUAUACAUAACUUCAGUACAAAACAAAAAGAAACAUAUAGCUCAAGUUCUUUUAAAGAUGUGUAGAAAAAAAUGGAAAGAAAACACAAAAAUCCUUAUCUUAGUUAUUUCUGGGUGGUGGGAUUUUGAGUGAUUUUUAAAGAUUUUUUAGUGCUUUGUGUUUUAUUGUAUUUCCAAAUUUCUGCAAUAAACACUUUCAAAUUUUAAAGUUACUGAAAUGGGGAUGUGGAGUGUCUCCUGUAUUUUAAGAAAGAGUCCCAUUUCUCUGGAAAAGCUUCUCGCGUGCACGUGGAAGAUCUUGGAGUGUAUUUUUAUGUUUUUCAGCCAGAGGUAAGGAGCUUGAGUCAGUUAGGAAUGCGUUUGACUACAAAUAGCAGAAAAUCCAGCUCACGUGGCGCGGGUUUCCUUUGGUCCCCUGUAACCGGAAGUCCCCAUGAGGCCAUCCAGGCAGCGGGCUGCUGUGACGCUGGGGCUGCUAAGACCUCCUGUUAGUCACCCUGAAACCAUCUCUCGAAAGCUCCCGUCCCCCAGGCCGUUUUUCAACAUGCUGGGACUGAGAACAUUUAUGCACCCCUGCCCCGCCCCAGCCUGGUGACAAGAAGAUAUCGGAGACCCUGUGCUCACUCAGGCCUGGUCUUUUAGGUUCCCCGUGGGGGCCCAGUGCAGGGCCUGCUGGAGGAGGCUUCAUGAGGAAGUGACCCGCCCGAGGUCACAUUGUUCCUUGGUUUGCUGAAUGACUAAAGAAUGAAUAAAGAUGGAUGGAGACAGGAUUAGAACCAGGCUCUCAGCUCUUUUCCCCACUCCAGUGACAAACUGCCAAGUCUAAACAUCUAACAUGGCACAUGUGGCCCUGGUAACCUGGCCCAGCUGACCUACUUAGCCUCAUCUCUCCCCACUGAACUGCUGUGGCUCACACACACCACAUUGGUUUUACUCUGUGCCUUUGCUUAUGCUGUUCCCUCUGCCUGGAAUGCCUUUCCCUGCUGCCCCCACCCUCUUUGGUCUAACUUCUACUCACCCUUUUAGAAUCAGCCCCAGUUUCCUGGAAGCCUCCCCCAGCCCCUGGCUGGGCUAGGGGUUCCUUUUCUGCACCCAUAGUACACCGUGCCUACUGCAUUUACUGCACUUAGUUCUGCUUUUCUGUGCACAUGCUGGACCCAGGUCCCCAGCCGGGAGCCCCUUGAGGGAGGACUGCGUCUGACUCACCUCACCCUCAACGCUGGCCCCAGGCUGGGCACGUUUGAGAAGGAGGUCACAGGACCUGGCACUGCCCCUGCUCCCACUCCAGAGGAGAGCCUUGACCGUGUCGUGCCCAUUUCCCUGUCCCAAAUGUGGGAGAGCUGGGCUUCACCAGAUCACUUCUGAGGACCCUGUGGCUGACAAGAUGGCCAGGGCUGGCAUAGGACAGCCUGUGUUGGGUGCCCAAGAUCAGAGGGGGCAAGGGACAUGGUCAGCACCCUCGGCCACCUGCAGCGCCUGGUGGCAGGGAUUGGGGUGGGUGUGGAGCAGAGGAGGUGGAGGCUAUGUUCUGGGCCUCAGCAGACCAGACCCCGCCACAGAGGCUGGCCAGGCGCCGCACAGCAGGGAGGGCGGCCCCCAGCGGUUAUCAAAGGCCAGCAGGGACCCUCCCUCAGAUGGUGACUGCAGGGAGGGAGAAGGGGUCUCCCUGGGGCUGCUGGCUCUGCCACAGCCACUGACAAGCUGGGCCAUCCAUCAGCCCUGAGCACAAUGGGGUCAUUAACCCCUGACCCCAGCCCCUUUCUAGCCAUUUCCUCUGGAGGGCUCCCCUCCCCAAGGCGAAGGGAGGGGGCGAUUCCUGUAUAACCUCCCUCUUCAAUGAGGGGCCCAGGAGCGACGGCCCCCUCGGCUGGCGGGGGACUCACAGCUCUACGGCCCUUCCGAAGUCUGAGGUCCCGCUCCUGCAGCUGCCAUCCUCUGCUGGUGCCUCUCACCCUCGGCCACCCACGGGAGCACCCCUCAAGCCACAGCAGUGUAUUUGGGGAGGGACAGAGAGGGGCCCUGAGAGACAGGGACAGGGACAGAGGCAUUCCGAGAGAGACGCUUAGACGCUUUAGAUCAGAGGUGGCUCUUCAGUUUACACAGGACAUUCAAAGGGACAUUAGAGACCAGUACUGCUUGUGAAAUUCCAUGCAAGAGCCCGAAAUAAAAUAUUAGCAAAACAAAUCCAGCAAUGAAUAAAAAGGACAUAUACAUGAUGACCAAAGUGGGUUUACCCUAGAAACGCAAGGGGGGGUUAGCGCUGGAAAGCCUAUGAGUGCCAUCCAUCGCGUUAAUAAAUUAAGGGAGCAAAGCCGUAUGAUUGUCUCAGCACUAGCACUAAAUGUCAACAUCUACUUAUGAUAAAAAUGUUUUCGCAAACUUGGGAUAGAAGGUAUGUCUGUAGACUCAUGAAGAUUAUCUACAAACACCAGCACACACGCAGGUCUUAAAGGAGCAGUGGACACAUUCUCUAGAAUCAGGGGUGUUUGCCCUCAUCCAUGCGUCUAUUCAGCAUCGUACCCAAGGCUCCAGCUGGGGCAGUAAGACAACGAAACAGCAGCAAGGGAGAAGGAUUGGAAAGGAAGAAGGAAAACUGGCAUUAUUUGAAGAUGAUAUGAUCGUCUACACAGAAAACCCCAAAUAAUCUACGAAUUACCAGAACUAUGAAAAAAAUCCAGCAGAGAUGAUACAGGAUACUCCCAUAUCAAAUCAAUAUCAAAAACUAAUUGCAGCCGCAACAUAUGGAUAAACUUGGAAAAUAUUAUGCUAAGUGAAAGAAGCCAGACACAGAAGGCCACAUGUUAUAGGAUUCCAUUUAUAGGAAAUCUCUAGAAUAGGCAGCUCCAUAGAGACAGAAAGUAGAUUAACGGUUGCCAGGGGCUGAGGAAGGAAAAAAUGAGGAGUGACUGCUCAUGGGUAAAGGUUUCUUUUUGGGGUGAUGAGAAUGUUCUGGAAUUAGAUAGUGGUGAUGGUUGUGCAAGCUUGUGAAUGCACUAAAACCCACUGAAUUGUACACUUUAAAGGGGUGAAUUUUAUAUGGGUAAAUUAUGUCUCAAUAAAAAGUAACUGCAUUUAUAAAUAUCAGAG
ensembl:lncRNA